AUUGAACGCUGGCGGCAGGCCUAACACAUGCAAGUCGAACGAGUGGCGGACGGGUGAGUAAUGUCUGGGAAACUGCCUGAUGGAGGGGGAUAACUACUGGAAACGGUAGCUAAUACCGCAUACCAUCAGAUGUGCCCAGCUGGGAUGAGCUAGUUGGUGGGGUAACGGCUCACCAAGGCGACGAUCCCUAGCUGGUCUGAGAGGAUGACCCGCCAACCUGGAACGGAGACACGGUCCAUGCUCAUAAGGGAGGCAGCAGUGGGGAAGAUUGGACAAUGGGCGAAAGCCUGAUGCAGCCAUGACGCGUGUAUGAAGAAGGCCUGCGGGUUGUAAAGUACUUUCAGCGGGGAGGCGUUACCCGCAGAAGAAGCACCGGCUAACUCCGUGCCAGCAGCCGCGGUAAUAC
rnacentral:rRNA from 1 species